rnacentral:tRNA from 3 species
GCACCCUUAGCUCAACUGGAUAGAGUACCUGACUACGAAUCAGGUGGUUAGAGGUUCGACUCCUCUAGGGUGCA